UACGUAGGAUGCAAGCGUUGUCCGGAAUUAUUGGGCGUAAAGAGCGCGCAGGCGGUCUGCCAAGUCAGAUGUGAAAGAGGCCGGCUUAACCGGCAAGGGUCAUUUGAAACUGACAGACUAGAGUGCAGCAGAGGAUAGCGGAAUUCCCGGUGUAGUGGUGAAAAUGCGUAGAUAUCGGGGAGGAACACCAGUGGCGAAGGCGGCUAUCUGGGCUGCAACUGACGCUGAGGCGCGAAGGCUAGGGUAGCAAACAGG
rnacentral:rRNA from 1 species